UAGCUCAGUUGGUAGAGUGCUUUCCUUGCAUGUAUAAGGCCCUGGGUUCAAUUCCCAG
rnacentral:tRNA from 1 species